AGUGAACGCUGGCGGUAGACCUAACACAUGCAAGUCGAACGGCAGCACAGUAAGAGCUUGCUCUUACGGGUGGCGAGUGGCGGACGGGUGAGGAAUACAUCGGAAUCUACUUUUUCGUGGGGGAUAACGUAGGGAAACUUACGCUAAUACCGCAUACGACCUACGGGUGAAAGCAGGGGAUCUUCGGACCUUGCGCGAUUGAAUGAGCCGAUGUCGGAUUAGCUAGUUGGCGGGGUAAAGGCCCACCAAGGCGACGAUCCGUAGCUGGUCUGAGAGGAUGAUCAGCCACACUGGAACUGAGACACGGUCCAGACUCCUACGGGAGGCAGCAGUGGGGAAUAUUGGACAAUGGGCGCAAGCCUGAUCCAGCCAUACCGCGUGGGUGAAGAAGGCCUUCGGGUUGUAAAGCCCUUUUGUUGGGAAAGAAAAGCAGCAGGUUAAUACCCCGCCGUUCUGACGGUACCCAAAGAAUAAGCACCGGCUAACUUCGUG
rnacentral:rRNA from 1 species